ACAACAUGGUGGUCAUGUGGAGGUCCCAUGAGAUAUUCUCUUUAUGAUGUCAAAUUUACUGUGAUUAUGAGGUCAUAAGGGGCAUUCUCAUAGGGACUUAAGGGAUCGGAAUCAUGGCCACUCUACUUCUGCAAGGAAGGGGGUUGGGAGGAGAGUGAGAUUAAUGAAGAAACUGACAGCUCUGUUUGAGAGGGAAGAAAACCAGCUGAUCACACUUCCUUUGAAAAUGGUUUACUUAUUACCUCUUAUAAUGCAAAUCAAGCAAAACCAACUAAUGAGGGGCUCUUCUGGACAAUAUUUGAUAACCAAAGAGAGCCUCAAGGUAAAACAAGAAAAUUAAUAAAAUAAAUGCAGAGAAUAUGAGAAGCUGUCAACAAAUUUCCUAGAAGAAAUGAAUCAGUGCCCAGUUUCCCUGUGUUGCUUCCGGAAGAAGUCAAGUUCACGUGAUAAGUUGAUAUCUGACUAAUCAGGUUAGAGCUCACUGAAGGUAUAAAUAGAAUCUGCCAGUCACAAGAUGACAGCCAGGGAAAGACCACGCACCUUGCGGCAAAGUCAUCAGGAGCUCAGCCUAAGCGAUCACACACCACCUCCAGAGCAAGAACCACGGGCCAUGUCAAACCAGGACGCAUGCUGAACUCCAUGGCUGUAAUUUCUUAACUGUGACUAAUCGAAAAAUUCACUAAUUCAUCUGCUUCCUCCUGGUUCCUUCCAUCGAACCUCAGCUAGAGCAAGACUAGGUAGAUAAAGCUGGGGUCUUUUCAACUUUCUAUUAGGGGAAAUUUCAAAUAUGUAAAACAGUAGCCAGAAGAGUAGAAUGAGCCUCCUCUCACUCUAUAUUCUUAUUACCCAAAUUUAACAAUUAUCAGCUCAAGCCAGUCUUGCUUUAUCUACUCCUCCUGCCCCUCCACUACUCCCACCAUCCAGAUUAUUUUGAAGCAUAUCCCGAACAACUCACAUUUCCCCUGUAAAUAUUUCAGUAUGAGAUAAGGUCUUUUAAGGAUAUUAUUUGCAUUUAGAGACUGUAAAGCCUGAUAUACUCCUCGUGAAAUUCUUAGCUACUGUUACAUUGGCCAGGAAGCCCCGGGGUUCCAUCUUCAUAUCCUUGUUUCUUUCCUGUUCCUCAUCCCUGUGCAAUCUGGCUGCCCCACUGCAGCUGCUCUUGCUGAGGGCCAGGACCCACCAGCUGCCCCAUUCAAGGGAAGCUUUUCACUACUUCUUUGCCUUCCUCCACAUUUAACCCCACCACGCCCUCCUACUGGAAGCUCUUUUACUCCUUCCAGGACAUGACAAUCACUCUCUUCUUUUCUGGCUCCCUCACAGGGUCUCUCACAAUCCCUCAGUCUCUCUGUCUCUGUCUCUGCCUCUCCCUCUCUCUUUCUCUCUCUGACAUUUCCUUUGGAGUCUUUUACGAUGGAACAGCAGCACUGUAUUUAGGAAGGGAAGGGAAGCAACGGAAAGACAUAACCUCUCUCAAGUUCUCCCUACCCUUUGACAUUGGGUGAUGUCCACUCAAGACUCAGGACUCUGAGCUGGAGGCUUUUCAGACAGUUCUGCAGCUCCACACUGCUACCCGUCAGCAGCGAGCCACGAACAACCAACCUGACAAAGGCCAAUUUCUUCUCGCCUUAAAAAUAAAAAUGCUUAAGGGC